AGCUACCUCUCUGUGGGGUGGAGCUACCUCUCUGUAACCCGGAGCUGCCCCGGAAUGCAGAGAUGGGGCAGGUGAAGAGGCGCUCUGAGAGAGUGGACCUGUGGAGUUCCCGGCUGGGAGACCCGAAGUUUUGAACAUCAGCAUGUGAGUCAGUGAUGCAGCUUGUCACAGGACGACAGUGUUCAGAGAAAGCAGCAGGUACAAUUGGCACAAUGUCAUCUUCAUGUCAGGGACUCACUUUUGCUAGAGGUAAAACUUCUCAUUAACCCCAAACCUCCUGAGCUUUUCUCUUUUCUCUAGUUGAACCACAGAGUAAAACUUAAGUAGCUGUCAGCCUUCUGGAUUUGGUGCAAGAGUUACUUAAUUUCCCUGCAGGUAGAGCAUUGCAGGGUAUAACAUUUUAUCUGUUCAUUUAUUGCUUAGAAAAUGUAUUCUGAAUAUCUGUUUCCUAGAAAUAACUUAUUAGAAAGGGAAGAUGAAAUUUACUCUUUGUGCCUCUUUAACAUUUACUUUGUUCCUUAAUCUAACAGUGUUUAUUCAGCUGGGCCUAGGAUAUUGGUUUAGUGUCUAAUAUAUGGAGUUAGGUGGCUUUUUGUCGUCGGAUACAGACUUGGAUGAUGUCUUGUCAUUUAUCAAAGGUGAUGUUCAUAAUUGAUUAGUCUUUCCAUCAAAAGAGUUACAAUUAGGAUAGAGGGAAAAUUCAAAAUUAUUCAAAGUAGCCUUUACCAUUUUAAAGUUGAGCUUGACUUCCAAGUUUUACUAAAUGUAUCAUCUAGAUAUUUUGAGGUGCUGUAUUUUCUCUGUAGUUUCUUUGGUGGUGGCGUCAGAAGGAGAGUCUUCGGGAAUUCUCCUGGAUAGAGGCAUGCUGGUGGCUUCGAGGGGCUUGGCGUCAGGAGCCCCAGGGUGAAUUCUGGAACUGCUUGCCUGACACUGGGUCAGUCAGGUCAUCCCACAGAGUUUCUGUUGCCUCCUCAUGAAAUUGCUGGCAGAUAAUGUUCUGCUUAAAGAGGAACCCUCCCAUCCUGUUGGUGGGAAUGCAGGCUGGUGCAGCCACUCUGGAAAACAGUGUGGAGGUUCCUCAAAAAGUUAAAAAUUGAACAACCAUAUGAUCUAGCAAUUGCACUAUUAGGUAUUUACCCAAAGGAUACAAAAAUGCAGAUUCGAAGGGUACAAGCACUGUGAUAUUUAUAGCAGCAUUAUCAACAAUAGCCAGACUAUGCAGAGAAUCCCAAAGUCCAUGCACUGAUGAAUGGAUAAAGAAGAUGUGGGGUACAUAUAUAUAUGAUGAAUAUGACCCAGCUUCAAAAAGAAUUAAAUCUUACCAUUUGCAAGGAUGUGGGUGGAUCUAGAGUAUAGUAAGCUAAGCAAAAUCAGUAAGUCAGAGAAAGACAAAUACUCUAUGAUUUCACUCAUAUCAAAUUUCAGAAAGAAAACAGAUGAACAUGGGGUGGGGGAGAGGCAAACGAGGAAACAGACUCAACCGUAGAGAACAAACUGAGGGUUGCUGGAGGGCAGAUGUGUGGGGAGAAGGGUUAUAUGGGUGAUGGGUAUUAGGGCAUUUGUUGGGAUGAACAUCAGGUGUUAUAUACAGGUGAGGAUUCACUAGAUCCUACACCUGAAGUGAAUAUUACACUGCAUGUUAACUAACUGGAAUUUAAGUAAAAGAAGAAAAGAGAAAGACAAUGUUCUGCUUCAUGAAGAGUGAGGUAAAAAUGUAGUGAUUUUGGCUGUACUAUUCUGUAGAUGAUAGUUUUAAAACACCCUGUUUUAGGAUACACUAGUCCUCGGAAGGCUGCGAUGAAAGAUUUAGAUCUCAGAGCAUGUUCAUGUUCCAUUGAUAUGUUACUUACAGUUUGCACAGGUGGGAAGGUAAGUGGAGAGAAAUAAGACAGAAGGAGAAAGUAGGUGUGAACCAUUCAUUAGGUAGCCUUCCACCUUUCUAAUGAGAGCCUUGGGCCAGUGUCAUUUUGGAAGAAGAGGGGGAAUCGUGGAGCUCUGCAGCAGAUGGGGGAGUUCCAGGUCUGGGUAAAGCUGACAGGGGUCCCACAGGAGAGCUGAGUGCAUUCUGCAGGAGGGUGUGGGCAGGGCGGGCUCCAGGGUUGGCUGUGGGUCUCCCGUGUGAGAGUUGUGACACGUGAGGGCCGUGAGCAGGUUCCUGGCUGAGGACAGGUGAGGCCCGGGUGGAGAGCUGGCCGAGCACCUUCUUCUGUGCCACCAGCCUCACCCAACACACACAACCUCAUCGUGAACACCUCUGUUACCUGUGUUGACCGUGGGACAGGUGAACUUCUCUAGGCAUCAUUUUGAUUUUUUGGCACUAUUGUUAAAGGUACUUUUGUCUCAAGUUCCUCCCUUUAGUAGCAAUUCUAAUGAUAAUGGAAAUUUUUAUCUUUUACCAUCCGUGGGCCUGGAUCCUGGGCUCCCAGAGAAGCUAUCCUUUAACAUUUUACCAAGGUCAAAACGACUGGGCCAAGCCUCAGAGUAUGGGUCCUAUUUCUGUCCCAAGCACAUAUUGUACAUCUGGUUUGAGAAGAAAAAGAUAAUCCCAAAAUGCCAUUGCAAACAUAAAGAUAAGAAAAACAAAAGAACCUCUCUGGCUUCCAUAAGAUUAGAGUCAUACCAACUUGUACAAACUGAAAACAUAAGAGAAAGUCUGUCACUUUCUUGAAUGUUCUUCCUCAUGAUGAUAUGUAACUCUGUAUGUAAAUCAACACAGAACAAAUAUAUAAACCUGCCUCAAAUGUUCCUUCCCCGGAGCACUCCCUUUUUUGUGAAGAUUGUGUCUCCCAGGCAGCUGUCCUGACUUGGGUUUGAAUAAAACUCUCUUCUUUUUUCUCUAAAGUGUUUAAAAGGGUUUGUUCAUUCAGUGUCGAGAAUAACAAUAUGUUUUCUUUUUAAGUGAAAAAUAAAUGUUCCUCGUUCACAACUCCAACAGCAGAGAAGGGCGGCUGUUCUUCAUCCUGGAGCUUCCCUGCAGAACCAAGCAUAUGUAUAUAUAUUCCAGCAUAAACGGGCUCAUCCUACAAGGAUGCUUUGAAGGUCCAAGAAGCACUAUCCAGUCCAUGGAAACCGAAGCAGGUGUGCUUGCCAUAGGUCGGAGGUCCUACUUAUCCCCACCUGACAGCACUUCUCCCCUCUGGCUCCAUGAGACCCGAAGUUUUGAACAUCAGCAUGUGAGUCAGUGAUGCUGCUUGUCACAGGACGUCAGCAUUCAGAGAGAGCAGCAGGUCCAUUUGGCACAAUGUCAUCUUCAAGUCAGGACUGGAGGUAAAACUUCUGAUUAACCCCAAACCUCCUGGGCUUUCCUCUUUUUUCUAGUUGAGCUACGAAGUAAAACUUAAGUAGCUCUCAGCAUUCUCCAUUUGGUUCAAGAGUUACUUUCCCUGCGGGUAGAACAUUGCAGGGGAUCCGAUUUUCUCUGUUCAUUUAUUGCUUACAAAAUAUAUUCUGAUCAUCUGUUUCCUAGAAGUAACUUUUAUUAGAAAGGGAAGGUGAAAUUUACUCUUUGUGUGUUUUUAAGAUAUCUUUUGUUCCUCAAUCUAAUAGCGUUUAUUCAAUUGGGCCUAGGAUAUGGUUGAGCGGCCAGCAUCUAGAGUUAGGUGGCUUUUUGUUGUCAGAUACAGAUUCGGAUGAUGUCUUGUCAUUUGUCAAAGGUGAUGUUUCAUAAUUGAUUAGUGUUUUCAUCAGAAGAAUUACAGUUAGGGUCAAGGGAAAAAUCAAAAUUAUUCAAAGCAGGCUUUUACUGUUUAAAAGUUGAGCCUGAGUUUCUAGUUUUUCUAAAUGUAUCAUCUAGAUAUUUUGACA